AUGGCCUGGAACUAGCCUUUUGUUCCCAUAAAAGUAUCCUAAAUAGCCUACCCCACCCCAAGAGACCCCGCUCAGACUCCUCCUCACCCUCACUGUUGUCCACCGCUCGCUGCCCGCCAAAAAUCGUCCACGGCGGCGGUACCACUCCAAACCACCCCAAAUUGUCACCCUACAAUCCCUAGCCCUUCAUCUGUCUAAAUCCACUACUCGUUUCUCUCAAAUUCCACCCAAAUUCCACGAUUAGUAGAUCUAGGUAUUAAAACCAAAUUUGUCCCUUUUUCAAUUUCUCAGCCUUUUUUAAUUCGUUUUGACUUGAAACUUACGUUGAUCGAUUGCUCUUGACGAGAGCAAUUGAUUGGCGUUAGUUUUAGCUCACUUCCAGGUCACCAGAGAUCGGUCAAAUCUCGUUGACCGGCCAGAAUUCACUCUUCUCCAUUGCUCGCCGGAGUCUUUUCACCAUUGGAUUUCAACUCACUCACCGGAUUUGUUUAUGUUGACUGGUACUUCUUUCAGUCUCAGAUCAUGUACUUGCCAAUGUGGAUGCCAUGACGUUAUAAAAUCUGCCUCAAUUUAUUCAUUUAUGUGUUCCUUAGAUAUUCCUUCACGUCUAAUUACAAAUUCGAAUUGAGUUUGAAUUGUCUGAUGUAGCUAAUGUCUAAAGCAUAUUGUAAACCUAAGUAACUACUGAGAGGAUGAGUAUGAGAUUUGAUCUCGUGACUUGUAUGAAUAAUCUAGGGCUGAAAUUGCCAUUGGUGUGUUUUGAUAUCGUAUGUGGAGUUUCACUGAUUUACUAUUAGAUUUGUAACUAGAAGAUGAAACAUUAGCUAAUGUUGAAGUUUGGGAGUUUGGCCUGUACCAGGCCUGACUCAAAGUUUUAUAGGCGUGAAGUGUCCAUGUGUAUAAUAGUUGACUCUAUUUUAAUUCCCAUAGUUUAAAAUUUGAAGAUCGCUUUGUAAUUUA